rnacentral:lncRNA from 1 species
UCUAAAGUAGUCUACUAUAUAGGGAAUAGGGUGCCAUAGGGUUCUGGUCUAUAGUAGUGCACUAUAUAGGGAAUAGGGCUCUGGUCUAUAGUAGUGCACUAUAUAGGGAAUAGGGUUCCAUAGGGCUCUGGUCUAAAGUAGUGCACUAUAUAGGGAAUAGGGUUCCAUAGGGCUCUGGUCUAAAGUAGUGCACUAUAUGGGGAAUAGGGUUCCACUUGGGACACAAGCAGAGAGCAGGUCUGUUUAUAUCUGGUGCCUCUGUCUCCAAAGCAACAUGAUGAAGAUGAAGACGAUGAAACAAAUAUAUAUAUAUAUUUUUUUAUUCCAACUGGUUUUAGAACACACACAAUGAAUUAUUCAAACAUAAAACACAUCAGAAUAGUUCCUUCCUGGCUGAAGUGUGAUCAUGAACACUAAAUUAGGGAGAAAGUACAGUUCCACCGCGGUCAGAUUAAAAAAUAAACAAUUAUACAGAGAAUGUAAAUGUGUAACAGUAUGUGUACAUCCCAAAUAGAGCCCUAUUCCCUAUAUAGUGCACUACUUUAGACCAGAGCCCUAUGGAACCCUAUUCCCUAUAUAGUGCACUACUUUAGACUUUGCCCACUACCCACACUGUGUUACAUCAGGAAGUGGGGGAGGGAGGCAGCCCAACAGUAGUUGGCACUACAUAGCCUGCGUCCCAAAUGGGACCCUAAUCCAUAUAUUGUGCUCUACUUUUUUAAAACAAAAGUAGUGCACUAUAUAGGGAAUAGGGUGCCAUUUGCUCCCAAGUGGCGGAGAAGUCUAAGGCGUUGCAUCUCAGUGCAAGAGACGUCACUACAGUCCCUGGUUCGAAUUCAGGGACUGUGAUUGAGAGUCCCAUUGGGCAGUGCACAAUUGGCCCAUGUCCGAGUUUGGCCCGUGGUAGGCUGUCAUUGUAAAUAAGAAUUUUUUCUUAACUGACUUGUCUAGUUAAAUAAAAGGUUAAAUAAAAAACGAAAUACAAAUUUGGGACGCAAUCAUGGAUUCCACCAGUUAAACUUCAACCUCAUCCCCAGACUAUUUGGCACAGGAGGAAGUGUCUGGGAACAGGAGGAAGUGUCUGGGAACAGGAGGAAGUGCCUGGGCAAAGGAGGAAGUGUCUGGGAACAGGAGGAAGUGUCUGGGAACAGGAGGAAGUGUCUGGGAACAGGAGGAAGUGUCUGAGCACAGGAGGAAGUGUCUGAGCACAGGAGGAAGUGUCUGAGCACAGGAGGAAGUGUCUGAGCGCAGGAGGAAGUGUCUGAGCACAGGAGGAAGUGUCUGAGCACAGGAGGAAGUGUCUGAGAACAGGAGGAAGUGUCUGGGCACAGGAGGAAUAGUCUGGGCACAGGAGGAAGUGUCUGAGCACAGGAGGAAGUGUCUGAGAACAGGAGGAAGUGUCUGGGCACAGGAGGAAUAGUCUGGGCACAGGAGGAAGAGUCUGGGCACAGGAGGAAGAGUCUGAGCACAGGAGGAAGAGUCUGAGCACAGGAGGAAGUGUCUGGGAACAGGAGGAAGUGUCUGGGAACAGGAGGAAGUGUCUGAGCACAGGAGGAAGUGUCUGAGCGCAGGAGGAAGUGUCUGAGCGCAGGAGGAAGUGUCUGAGCACAGGAGGAAGUGUCUGAGAACAGGAGGAAGUGUCUGGGCACAGGAGGAAUAGUCUGGGCACAGGAGGAAGUGUCUGAGCACAGGAGGAAGUGUCUGAGAACAGGAGGAAGUGUCUGGGCACAGGAGGAAGUGUCUGGGAACAGGAGGAAGUGUCUGGGAACAGGAGGAAGUGUCUGAGCACAGGAGGAAGUGUCUGGGAACAGGAGGAAGUGUCUGGGAACAGGAGGAAGUGUCUGGGAACAGGAGGAAGUGUCUGAGCACAGGAGGAAGUGUCUGAGCGCAGGAGGAAGUGUCUGAGCGCAGGAGGAAGUGUCUGAGCACAGGAGGAAGUGUCUGAGCACAGGAGGAAGUGUCUGAGAACAGGAGGAAGUGUCUGGGCACAGGAGGAAUAGUCUGGGCACAGGAGGAAGUGUCUGAGCACAGGAGGAAGUGUCUGAGAACAGGAGGAAGUGUCUGGGCACAGGAGGAAUAGUCUGGGCACAGGAGGAAGAGUCUGAGCACAGGAGGAAGAGUCUGAGCACAGGAGGAAGUGUCUGGGAACAGGAGGAAGUGUCUGAGCACAGGAGGAAGUGUCUGAGCACAGGAGGAAGUGUCUGGGACCAGGAGGAAGUGUCUGGGAACAGGAGGAAGUGUCUGGGAACAGGAGGAAGUGUCUGGGCACAGGAGGAAGUGUCUGGGCACAGGAGGAAGUGUCUGGGAACAGGAGGAAGUGUCUGGGAACAGGAGGAAGUGUCUGGGAACAGGAGGAAGUGUCUGGGAACAGGAGGAAGUGUCUGGGAACAGGAGGAAGUGUCUGAGCACAGGAGGAAGUGUCUGAGCGCAGGAGGAAGUGUCUGAGCACAGGAGGAAGUGUCUGAGCGCAGGAGGAAGUGUCUGAGCACAGGAGGAAGUGUCUGAGCACAGGAGGAAGUGUCUGGGACCAGGAGGAAGUGUCUGGGACCAGGAGGAAGUGUCUGGGACCAGGAGGAAGUGUCUGAGAACAGGAGGAAGUGUCUGGGCACAGGAGGAAGUGUCUGAGCACAGGAGGAAGUGUCUGGGAACAGGAGGAAGUGUCUGGGAACAGGAGGAAGUGUCUGGGCAUAGGAGGAAGUGCCUGGGAACAGGAGGAAGUGUCUGAGCACAGGAGGAAGUGUCUGGGCACAGGAGGAAGUGUCUGAGCGCAGGAGGAAGUGUCUGAGCACAGGAGGAAGUGUCUGAGAACAGGAGGAAGUGUCUGGGCACAGGAGGAAGUGUCUGGGAACAGGAGGAAGUGUCUGAGCACAGGAGGAAGUGUCUGGGCAUAGGAGGAAGAGUCUGGGAACAGGAGGAAGUGUCUGGGAACAGGAGGAAGUGUCUGGGAACAGGAGGAAGUGCCUGGGAACAGGAGGAAGUGUCUGGGAACAGGAGGAAGUGUCUGGGAACAGGAGGAAGUGUCUGGGAACAGGAGGAAGUGUCUGGGAACAGGAGGAAGUGUCUGGGAACAAGAGGAAGUGUCUGGGAACAGGAGGAAGUGUCUGGGCACAGGAGGAAGUGCCUGGGCAAAGGAGGAAGUGUCUGGGAACAAGAGGAAGUGCCUGGGAACAGGAGGAAGUGUCUGGGAACAGGAGGAAGUGUCUGGGAACAGGAGGAAGUGUCUGGGAACAGGAGGAAGUGUCUGAGCACAGGAGGAAGUGUCUGAGCACAGGAGGAAGAGUCUGGGCACAGGAGGAAGAGUCUGGGAACAGGAGGAAGUGUCUGGGAACAGGAGGAAGUGCCUGGGAACAGGAGGAAGUGCCUGGGCAAAGGAGGAAGUGUCUGGGAACAGGAGGAAGUGUCUGGGAACAGGAGGAAGUGCCUGGGCAAAGGAGGAAGUGUCUGGGAACAGGAGGAAGUGUCUGGGAACAGGAGGAAGUGUCUGGGAACAGGAGGAAGUGUCUGGGAACAGGAGGAAGUGUCUGGGAACAGGAGGAAGUGCCUGGGAACAGGAGGAAGUGUCUGGGAACAGGAGGAAGUGUCUGGGAACAGGAGGAAGUGUCUGGGAACAGGAGGAAGUGUCUGGGAACAGGAGGAAGUGCCUGGGAACAGGAGGAAGUGUCUGGGAACAGGAGGAAGUGUCUGGGCACAGGAGGAAGUGUCUGGGAACAGGAGGAAGUGUCUGAGCACAGGAGGAAGUGUCUGAGAACAGGAGGAAGUGUCUGGGAACAAGAGGAAGUGUCUGGGAACAAGAGGAAGUGUCUGGGAACAGGAGGAAGUGUCUGGGAACAGGAGGAAGUGCCUGGGAACAGGAGGAAGUGUCUGAGCACAGGAGGAAUAGUCUGAGCACAGGAGGAAGUGUCUGAGCACAGGAGGAAGUGUCUGGGCAUAGGAGGAAGUGUCUGGGAACAGGAGGAAGUGUCUGGGAACAGGAGGAAGUGUCUGGGAACAGGAGGAAGAGUCUGGGCACAGGAGGAAGUGUCUGGGAACAAGAGGAAGUGCCUGGUGUGUGUGUAAUCUUGACAACCCAGAACCAAAUCUUGUGUGCUCUCGCGGUUCAUGUUUCUUUGUAACGAGAGAAUAGGUGUGUAUUCAUUAGUGCACAGAAAACAUUUUGCAAUGAAAGCAAAGCGUUUGUUAUUGGAUAAGUUAUGGUUAUUCUCUCCCCCAUUUCAGCCUGCUUGCUCUGGUUUGAAUACCAGUGAACACACCCUGGUGUGUAAGAACAUCAACCAGGAGAGGUCAGACGGUAUGUUUAACAGUAAGGUAGGUUCCUCUAAAUGUUUGGUCAGGAGGCUAGCUGGAUCAGUUAGUGCUCUUCAGCAUUCUGUAAACAGACAGAAACACAAUGAUACUGCUGCUUCAUUCAUCAGAGGCUUUAGGCUACAUCGAAGACCAUCAGAGACUAUCAGAGGCUUUAGGCUACAUCGAAGACCAUCAGAGACUAUCAGAGACCAUCA